UUAGAGAACUUUUGGGGAUUAAAGGUUAAGUGUGUGUUUAAAGUCAAGCCAACUUUGAGGAAUUUCCUCUUGAUUGGAAAAUAAGACUCAUAAGGUCAGAUGAGCUUUUCUCUUUUGACUAUGAAGAAGAGAGUAUUUAGAGACUGGAAGUUAAAACUUUUCCAGAGACCAAGAAGGCAGUUGUAGCAUUUCCUAAACUCAGAGCAAUUGUGUUUCAUACAGCUGUAUGUGCACUUUCAGUUACAAAGAUGUUUUUCCGGAGAAGUAUUAUCAGUUCCUUGCGGGUAGAGGAUGUUCCUGACACAUCUUAGCAUCUCCGAGUGCUAGAAGGAUAGAGCUGACCGUAAGGAUCAGGUACUGUGCAUGAGCUCUUAUAAUUUUUAUAAUGAUCUAUGAAGAAGGAAAUAUAAUUUCUCUAAUUUUAUAGGUGAGGAAACUGAAACACAAGCUACACAACUCCAGUGAGAAGCAGAGCUGGAACUGAUUCCACUUGGCUGAUUUCCCAGGUCAGCUAGAUCCUACCCCUCAUAUCCUGCAGUGCUUGCUUUCAGUGAACAGGUGAGAUGCUUUCUGGAGAGACAGAUCUGGGACUUCAUGGAGCUUACAGAAUAGGCUGUAUGACUGCUUGCUAAUAAAUGUCUGUUGAAUCUGACCAGAGGCUAUUGGUCAUUGUAACAUACCAUCUGGAGCAAGACUGUGGAGAAGCCCUAUAGCUUAACCUGUCUCUUAACUGUUGGAAGCUACUGAUGUCUGCCCAAAAGAAGCUAAUAAUAAUGAAUUGACUUUUAGGUUAAUUUGUAACCUUCUUCUUCCUUAGUUAUCUCCAGCUGGAAGAAAUCUAGUCCCAGAGAGUCAAAUAAUGAUGUCUUGUGAAGAGUUAUCAUGUACUUCUGUGUGGUCACUACUGGGGCUGUGAUCUCUGACAUGAAGCCCUCCUUGCAAUGUACAAGCAUUUGGAACACUGGCAAGGCCUGUGAGCUAAAAUUUCAAACAACCAGCAGUUAGAAACUGACUGUUGUCUCUAAGUGCUGUAGAUCUCCUGGGUAUUUCCAGUUCCAUUGGGAAGGGAGUUAUGAUCAAAGCCACUAAGGUUAAAAUGACUGUAGCUAUCAGGAUGGCCCCUCCUCCUUCCUUUUGGUUCACUGUCGGGGAAAUCUUGCCCCAGGGGUGCUGUCUCUUUCUCUGCUAUCUCAGUUGUCCCUGUUGGAUGCUCCCCUGUCUCAAGUAGCUACAAGUUCCAAAAACACCAGAGAUUUUUUGCCUAACUGGUUGCUUCAUAUCACAAGUAAUCUGGUAAUUGCUUGUGAAUUGCAGGUCUCUAUUUCGAUUUUGUGGUGAGAAGCACAGAACUGGUACUUUUUAAAUGUCUUAAAAAGUGAAAAAAUAUAUGAACGUAAAUAAUCAAACACAAUAACGUAAGUAUUGAGUUUGUGUUAUCCAAUAUGAUUGAUGAAACUAUAGACCAUACUUUCCAGAAUGAUUUCAUGUAAACUUUUAUGUUUUAAUUUCACAAUUUGAAAAGUGAUAUGCAUAGUUAAGGUAAAAUUUGGAGUUUCUCUUUUCCUCCUAGUCCAUCUAAAACAGUGCUAAUAGAACUUUAUAGAACGUUUUAAUCUGUGCUGUCCAAUAAGAUAGCCAGCCACUAGUCACAUGUGAUUAUUGAGCACUUAAUGUGGCUAGUGCAGCUGAGGAACUGAAUUUUAAAUUGUAUUUAUUUUCAUUAAUUUAAAUUUAAAUAGUCACUGGUGAGUCAUGGCUACCAUAUUGGUCAGAAUAGAUCUAGAAUACAGUGAUGACCUUAUAACAGGAUAGUCUAGGCUAUGUUACAGCCACAAAGAAUGCUAAAAUCUUGGGGAUUUAUAAGAACAAAGAUUUAUUUCUUGCUUGUGUUAUGUACUCAUUUGGGAUUGGCUUGGGACCUAGGUGGAUAAAGUAGCCACCAUCUGACAUGUUGCCAGUCACUAUGGAGAGUCUUGCACCAGUACUUAAAUUCUCUGGACCAGAGGGGAUGAACAUCACUUCUGCUUCAACCUCGCUGACUGGAAUUAGUCACACAGCCCCAUCUCCCAUCUCACACAGGGAGUCAGGAAUGUGGUCCUAAUCAUGUGCCAGGGGGCAAAGAGCCUCAGUAAUGACUGUCACAGACAUUAGCUUCCUUUUCGAAAUACAGAGGCAUUCCCAAGGGUUAAAGAAAGUAGUAUUACCCGUGUUUUCUUGAAAAGUGGAGAGUUGAGUUUCUUUAGAAUUCAGUUAUUCUUUAGCUCAUUGACACUCAAUAGCACAGAUGUAUUAAAAGCACAGAUUUUAUUAACAUGUGUAGAACUCAAACAUCUUGAUAAAAAGAGACUUUAAGUUAGAGCUGACAAGAGUCAGCAUGUCUUUUUAGUUAUACAUAGAAAUUCAUUUAAUAUGAAGCUCUGCGAUGUAAGGAAUAAUCAGUGGAUUGUUUUUUAUAUGUUUGGGAAGAGAAUGGAAUGGAAGGAAAUUAUUUGUUUUCUUUCAGAAUAUAAGGUACAUUUUUCACUAGCGAGGAAUAAAAAGUCCUUUUCUUUAAAAAUAAUAAUUUCCUCACUAGGAGCAUUUGUGGAUUGUGGUUGCCUUAAAAAAGUGAAACAAUUUAAAUAUUAUCUGGACAAUGGAUUCUUUCCAGACUAUACUGUGGAAUCAUAGAAUCAUCUAGUCUAACAUUUAAUAGUAUGUCUUGAUUCUUUCUAGAAUAUCUACAGUAUUGUUUGAAUACUCGAGGCCUGGGGGGGGGGGCCCACCAUCUGAUAUCUGAAAACAGACUUCCUGUGAAGCAGGAGUGAUGGUUUCCUGAGAACAAAUGCUUCACUAUCAAGACAUGGAAAGAUAGCACUCGGCUGCUAGUAACAAAUUGCACCAAAGUUACAAAUGCAGACCAAGCCUUGUUUCCUGUAGAAAUCUUCGAAGAGGGGAUAAGUUUAGAUUUCCUACUGAUUUUGGAAGAAAGGAGAUUCUGUUUUUCCUAGGGAAGCCAGUCAUCCAUGAGCAGGAGACGUGUCUUCAGAAUCUAAGAAGUGUAAUGUCCCUAAUGCUUAAACUCAUGGCAAGUCCAGAUCCAGAAAAACUGGCAGGUAGAACAGGGGAUGGAAAUGAAAAGUUCAAAUGUCUAUAGUAUACUUUGGAAAUAUUGUGCCUCGUAAGUUAAAAUGGCUCAACUGCCUGCAGAAUGAAGUGCUACAGGACUGGAGGAGACCCGGUUCUCUGGAGUAGGAGCUGGGAGAGACCCCCAUCUCCAGGGACCCUCUGGGCAGGGCUGUGACCUUGUUUUUUUCAUGAGUGCUUUCAGUUGGAGAAUUUAUAUGACUUUGCCCAGAUAAAGCUUCCUUAUGUUACUUUUUCUCUAAAAUUGGUUGGUCAGGCAAGUUACUGGUGAUUUCCCAAAAUGAAAUCUAGCUGUACUAGAAUCUUAAGGUGCCAGCUAAUUUAAAUUAAUGCCCCUCAGUAACGCUGCUGGGUAUCAACCACUAUUGCUGAAGAAUCAACCCCCAUAUGACCUAACUAAGUAAUCUAUCACACUAGGUGCUUCUACUGUCUUGGGUUUUUUGAGCUUUAGAGAGAUAGUCUUUGUAAUAUGACUUAGAAACUGC